UACAGAGGGUGCGAGCGUUGUCCGGAAUCACUGGGCGUAAAGGGCGCGUAGGUGGCGCCGCAAGUCCAUGGUGAAAGCUCGAUGCUCAACAUCGAGUCGGCCACGGAGACUGCGGGGCGUCGAGCGACUGUGAGGGCAGAUGGAAUUCCGGGUGUAGCGGUGGAAUGCGUAGAGAUCCGGAAGAACACCGGUGGCGAAGGCGGUCUGCUGGGCAGUUGCUGAC
rnacentral:rRNA from 1 species